rnacentral:rRNA from 1 species
AGAGUUUGAUCCUGGCUCAGAUUGAACGCUGGCGGCAUGCCUAACACAUGCAAGUCGAACGGCAGCGGGCUCUAGCUUGCUAGAGCGCCGGCGAGUGGCGAACGGGUGAGUAACGCGUAGGAAUAUACCUUUAAGUGGGGGAUAACUCGGGGAAACUCGAGCUAAUACCGCAUAAUCUCUAAGGAGAAAAGCUGGGGACCUUCGGGCCUGGCGCUUAAAGAUUAGCCUGCGUCCGAUUAGCUAGUUGGUGGGGUAAGAGCCUACCAAGGCGACGAUCGGUGGCUGGUCUGAGAGGAUGAUCAGCCACACUGGGACUGAGACACGGCCCAGACUCCUACGGGAGGCAGCAGUGGGGAAUAUUGGACAAUGGGGGCAACCCUGAUCCAGCAAUGCCGCGUGUGUGAAGAAGGCCUGAGGGUUGUAAAGCACUUUCAGUGGGGAGGAAAGGUUGAGCGUUAAUAGCGUUUAACUGUGACGUUACCCACAGAAGAAGCACCGGCUAACUCCGUGCCAGCAGCCGCGGUAAUACGGAGGGUGCGAGCGUUAAUCGGAAUUACUGGGCGUAAAGCGCGCGUAGGUGGUUUAAUAAGUUGUCUGUGAAAGCCCUGGGCUCAACCUGGGAAAGCCAGGCAAAACUAUUAGACUAGAGUACGAGAGAGGGUAGUGGAAUUUCCAGUGUAGCGGUGAAAUGCGUAGAGAUUGGAAGGAACACCAGUGGCGAAGGCGGCUACCUGGCUUGAUACUGACACUGAGGUGCGAAAGCGU